GAUGAACGCUGGCGGCGUGCCUAAUACAUGCAAGUCGAGCGAACGGACGAGAAGCUUGCUUCUCUGAUGUUAGCGGCGGACGGGUGAGUAACACGUGGAUAACCUACCUAUAAGACUGGGAUAACUUCGGGAAACCGGAGCUAAUACCGGAUGAUAUUUUGAACCGCAUGGUUCAAGAGUGAAAGACGGUCUUGCUGUCACUUAUAGAUGGAUCCGCGCUGCAUUAGCUAGUUGGUAAGGUAACGGCUUACCAAGGCAACGAUGCAUAGCCGGCCUGAGAGGGUGAUCGGCCACACUGGAACUGAGACACGGUCCAGACUCCUACGGGAGGCGGCAGUAGGGAAUCUUCCGCAAUGGGCGAAAGCCUGACGGAGCAACGCCGCGUGAGUGAUGAAGGUCUUCGGAUCGUAAAACUCUGUUAUUAGGGAAGAACAUAUGUGUAAGUAACUGUGCACAUCUUGACGGUACCUAAUCAGAAAGCCACGGCUAACUACGUG
rnacentral:rRNA from 1 species